GGAGGGUUGUCAGAGCGGCCGAAUGAGGUGGUCUUGAAAACCAUUGUGCGGUAACCCCGUACCGCGGGUUCGAAUCCCGCACCCUCCG
rnacentral:tRNA from 1 species